ensembl:lncRNA
CAGGUUUUGCUUUCCACUCUGCCUCAGAUUUUAAGCACAUGAGUUCACUGUGACGGGAAGAACAGCACGGAGUCCUUCAGCUGCAGGCAGAAGGCCUGUCUGACUCAGUACUCCACGUAGGCAAGUUCGUGUGCUUCGCCCCUUCUAUUGCUACACGCCUUGUGACAGCAACCAAAGCCGUCAGUGACUGAAAUCCUGGAGUCACACAGAAAUGAGGCAGUAAUACAGGAAAAGCUUCAUGCUGAUCAGUGUCCAGCAGGGUGUUGAGGGUUCUGCUGAUCCAGCACAAGACAUUGCCUCCUUACGGCCAUUGCAGGAUUUACCUUUUUUCAUUGGGUGACUGCAGUCCCGCCCUGCUUUAACACACCAACAUUAAUGAAGUGUGGAUUGAAGACUUACUGCUGGACUGCAUCCCACUGCUAAAUGGAAACUUGCUUUGCACAGACAGAAGUCUUGACCCUUACACCAACCAAGACAGAAUCAACACCAAAACAGGUGUUGAUUCUAUAGCCUUCCUUGAUUUCUGUAAAUAUAACAAAAUAUUGAUAUAUUGAUGUAUAACAAAAUAUUGAUCUGGAACUUAAUUUAAAAAAAUUAAAUUUGAAAUUAAAUAAUUCUUGAAGAUGAA